AGCUAUGCGAUAGCGUAAACGUUCUAGGUUUAUGAGGAAAGUCCGAGCAUCACAGAGCAGGAUAGCUGAUAACGUCAGCCGAGGGUGACCUUAGAGCCAGUGCAACAGAGAUAUACCGCCAAUUUAUUGGUAAGGGUGGAAAGGCGGGGUAAGAGCCCACCAGAAUGGCAGAGAUGUCAUUGCUAUGUAAACCUUAUCCGAUGCAACACCAAUGGUAGCCUGCAAGUCAAUGGCUGCUCGUCAGACUUGGGACUAUAGGUGGCUAGAGCUGUGCGGCGACGUACAGUCCAGAUAGAUUAUCGCACUCGACAAAACUCGGCUUAUCGGUUCGGU
rnacentral:RNase_P_RNA from 1 species